rnacentral:rRNA from 1 species
GAUGAACGCUGGCGGCGUGCCUAAUACAUGCAAGUCGAGCGAACAGACGAGGAGCUUGCUCCUCUGACGUUAGCGGCGGACGGGUGAGUAACACGUGGAUAACCUACCUAUAAGACUGGGAUAACUUCGGGAAACCGGAGCUAAUACCGGAUAAUAUAUUGAACCGCAUGGUUCAAUAGUGAAAGACGGUUUUGCUGUCACUUAUAGAUGGAUCCGCGCCGCAUUAGCUAGUUGGUAAGGUAACGGCUUACCAAGGCAACGAUGCGUAGCCGACCUGAGAGGGUGAUCGGCCACACUGGAGCUGGGACACGGUCCAGACUCCUACGGGAGGCAGCAGUAGGGAAUCUUCCGCAAUGGGCGAAAGCCUUACGGAGCAACGCCGCGUGAGUGAUGAAGGUCUUCGGAUCGUAAAACUCUGUUAUUAGUGAAGAACAAAUGUGUAAGUAACUAUGCACGUCUUGACGGUACCUAAUCAGAAAGCCACGGCUAACUACGUG